UAGUUGGUGGUGUGAAUUGUCUGGUUGAUUCCGACAACGAACGAGACCUUAUAAAUUAACUAGUACCUUUAUUGAAAAUGUUAUAGUAUUGGAUGAGAUCGGUCAAGUAUGGUUCUCUUUUUUCGGGAAGGGGAUUGUAUUUGAUCAUUUUGUCUCAUUCGAUGCACGAGGUUUGCUUAUGGGGUUCCGCAAGGGAUUUCUGUAAGUCAAAUCUUGGUCGGAUAUUUAUCCAAUGGUUGUGCUUCUUAGAAAGACGAUUCACUUUCAGUGAAUGGAAGUAAGACAAUAACAGGU
rnacentral:rRNA from 1 species